rnacentral:lncRNA from 1 species
AGACGGAGGGGCGCAAGCCCGGAGCCGGUGGCGACCCCCAACCCCCACCCCCCGAGCGGGCUGGGAACAGUGAGCUCCCUCUCGGCCCCCGGGGCCUGCCCCCCCCCGCCUCCCGCCCAGGGAUUUUCCGUCCCCAGUGUGCGCGCACACCCACCCCCACACGCACAAUCACACACGCCCACACAUCGUACACCUGUGCCUGCCCCCUCCGUGCCCUCUGUGCCCUCUGUGCCCUGCCUCCGCUCCCACACAAGCACAGUCCUGCACGCCCACCCGCGGUCGUUCCCCCCAACCCUCCCAGCCUGCCGCCCGGUCCAGCCCAACUCCCCACUAGGAAGCUGCCAGCCCAGGGCCCCCGUCCGCCCCUGCCCCCCGGCUGCCCCCCGGCUGCCCCCCGGCUGCCCCUUCUUCCUUCCCCUGGAGGCGGCUGUCACCGGGGAGGGCAGGGAGAGGGGGCUCGCCCCCGGGAUCCCGGCCCACGUCCCUGUCCGGCUGCCCCCGCCCCCCCAGCCGGUCCUUCGCCCCCGGCUCCUCUCUGCCCUCGGCCUCCUCCCCGAGCCCCAGCGCCGGCCUGAGGCGGGCACCCCCCGGACACCUCCGAGGCAGAGAGGCAACGGGCUUCCCCUGCCCCCGGGGGGGAAGCCCCUGCCCGAGGGGCGGGGGAGACCCCCCGGAGCGGCCCGUAGACCUGGUGGGAGGACUGGAACUCGACACCCUGGGUUCCCCGAGCGGAGGUUAGACCGGGCCCAGGAGUCCCUGCCGCUCGGCCGCCCCAGGCCCACCCUAGCCUCCGGUGCCCGCUGCCCCCUGGCCAAAGCCCUGCGGGGGAGGGGGCUGGAAAAGGACUGGGGGUCCGUCCCGGGCGGGGGGGGGUGUGUGCGGGGAGAGGUGGGGAGGAGCUCAGGGCAUCUCAGCCAGGACAGGGUGAAGGGAGGAUGGGGCAGGACGGGGGAAGGGCCGCCGGCCUUUGGGUUCCGGCGGGCAGGGGCCGGGCUGGGAAGUUGGCACCGGGACCCGGGACGGCUCAGGCGGUGCCCACCGCCCUCCCCCGCGCUCCCCCCAGCCCGGGCUUGUCCUUCCUUCCCUUCCUUUCCUGCCUUCCCCAGCAAGACUUCCUGGCGGGGGAGGGUCUCCCGCCGCAGUCUGGCGGCCAGGGGACGGGAGGGGAGGAGAGGGGACCCCCCCCAGCUCACUCCACGACCACGUUCCCAGUUGCCCCCGAGCGGCCUAGAGAGAAGCCCCUGCCCCAGCACCUUGGGCUGGGCAGAAGGCCCCUCCCCCAGCACCUUGGGCUGGGCAGAAGGCCCCUCCCCCAGCUCCUUGGGCUGGGCAGAAGGCCCCUCCCCCAGCUCCUUGGGCUGGGCAAAAGGCCCCUCCCCCAGCUCCUUGGGCUGGACAGAAGGCCCCUCCCCCACUUCCUUGGGCUGGACAGAAGGCCCCUCCCUCAGUUCCUUGGGCUGGACAGAAGCCCCCCCCCUCCCCCCUCCAGCUCCUUGGGCCGGACAGAAGGCCCCUCCCCCAGCUCCUUGGGUUGGCUAG